ACACAAGGAAGGAUAUAAGCAAUUGUGUUUUAAGGUCUCUCUCUCUCCCUCCCCCCGCAUUGUUUCCAUCUGGGCCUUGCAAGAAUGGGUCCGAUCCUCCCUGCUGCAUCUCCUUCCUACACUAAGCACUCAGUGGGCAGAAGCAAUGCUAUGCAUGCGCUCAGGCCACAGCAGCACCAUAAGGCCCAUCUUCCCUACGGCCUGCCACUAGGUCUGGGAGUGGAAUCCAUCAGGUUAGGAGGGUCAGAUUUCCCACUUUCGGGAUUUUACAGCUGACCCUGGAAUAUAUCAUAAUCUGGCCCUUUUUCGGGGAAUAAGAAAAAUUAACACUGCAAAGCGUGCCCUUCGAGGUGCACGACUUUGAUUCUGGACUACAACUCCCAGAAUCCCUCUGGCAAAACAGCUGUCUGGGGAAUUCUGGGAGCUGUAGUCCAACCAGCAGCCUUCUAGUCUACCUACACCCACUUAACUGGGAGGAAAUCCGAAUACGGCUUCCUUCGAAGCCAGCAUAACUAGAACUGUGCAGUGCCAUACAUUUCCUCUCAUUUUCUCCCCGCUUCAAAGAAUAGAAAUUAGUUUUCACAGUGCGCACGCGCAGACCCUACUCGUCGCUUUGCUACUACGAGCAUGCGCAUAAACCCGACACACUCCCCCUAUUGCGAUGUCAUGAGCAACCACCCCCCCCCGGCUCCCUUUUAUUUCAACGCUAUUCCGCUUGGAGGGCGGCCUUAGGUUCGCGCAAGCGCAGAGAGAGAGAGGGCGGACGAGUGCGCCUCCGCCGCUCUACCGCGCACGCGCGGAGGGGGGAGCGAGCGUCGUCGGGAGAGCCCGGCCCCCUGCCUCCGUCUGCGCUUGCGCAGGAAGGGUCCUGUGGCCAGAGGGGACUGGGCCGCCCCUCCCCAAAUCCGGAGGAACCGGUGUGUCCACCAUGCAAGAGGAAGAGGAGGAAUCUGAAGCAACCUCAGUGUCUUCUGGAAACAGCAGCCCCCCUACCCCGUCUGCCAAUGGCUAUCCAGGCCCCCGGAGCAAGGAGCCACAGACGACCAUCGGGGAGCUGGUAGAGGAUGGCGGAGAAGCUGGGCAGGAUCGGCUGAGUUCCUCCCAGGCUCCCAGUCCUGAAUGGCACGAAUGCCCCGAAUGCGGGCGCGGCUUUGGCACCUCGCGGGCCCUAAAGGUGCACCGUAGCUACCACGUGGGGCGCAAACGGCCUCACAGUGGCUCCUCUUCCUCCAAGCUGCCUCCACCUCUGAUCUUACCCGGUAACCCUGACGGCUGGGAAGGGCAGACGGCCCCCGCUUCGGGUCGGGGCCGAGCUUUCCACUACAUCUGCGCUGAGUGCGGCCUGGGCUUUGCCUCUCCCGCCACCCUGGAGGGUCAUCGCUGUGAACGGGGCUGGCGCCGGAGCCCCCCAGCGCCUCCCCGCACCAAGGUCCCGCCCUCUCCGACUCCCAGGGAAGCCAAUGGGGAUCAGGACACAGAGGGGGCCGAUGGACCGUACCAUUGCACCGAGUGCUCAGGGGAGUUUGGCUUGGUGUCGGAACUUCAUGAGCACUACAUGCUCCAUGCUCGUGGAGAGCUGUAG
rnacentral:lncRNA from 1 species